GUUUUUGAGGCUAGGGUCAAAAGGUUUAGGUUUUUGGAUAUGGUUUUGGUGCAAAAUUUGUGUCAUUUGGGGUUUAUAUGAAGAAGUUAUAGGCGCUCAAAGUUAAGGUGUAAGUUUUCGACGUACUGUCACUCUUUUGAGCAUACCGCACGCGUACGGACAGCAAACGAGGAUCGGCGACCGGAUUUGAAGAGAACACUUUUUCGGCUACAGUUUGUACAUACUGUUUAUCGAAUUCCAAGCUUUUAUGAAGGAGAUAUUGGCAGUUGAAGUCAGCGCUUGAUAUCUAAGGGUAGUAAGUAGCCCGAAUUACUUGUGCUUAUGAUUUGAGCUAUAUCUUAGACAAUUUGAUGAGGUUUUAGCUCAAAAUUUUCAAGAUUGAGUGUAAUCUUGUUAUAAAGCUUUCUAUACAAGUUUUGUGUGAUUUGGAGCUUGGGUUUAAGAGAUAUAAGGAAAAUAGUUUUCGGGUGCUUGUAAGUUAGGGUUUUGUGCACCUGCUAAAGUUUCUUAGAUGCCGAACGAUCGGUGAUAGAUGUACGGUUAAAUUUUUUUGUGGUAAAAUUUAAGUAUAGCAUCUAGUUUAUGUAGAAAUUUGAAACAAAGUGAACGGUUCGAUUAGCUUUUAUGAAUUUUCAAAGUCUGAUAUAAAAAGGUCCUUGGCGGGAAGAAAUAUAUUUUGAAGAAUUUUAAGAUAUUUUAAAUUUUUAUACAAAGCAAGGAGUUUUUUUUUGGGAGCUAAGGCAUUAUAUAAAAAAGAAACCCGAACUCUCUACAGCUAGAUAUCCGGUGUAUUCCCAGAUAGAAAAUCACGC
rnacentral:lncRNA from 1 species